rnacentral:rRNA from 1 species
UACGUAGGGGGGCUAGCGUUGUCCGGAUUUAUUGGGCGUAAAGAGCGUGUAGGCGGCCAGGUAGGUCUGCUGUGAAAACUCGAGGCUCAACCUCGAGACGUCGGCGGAAACCAUCUGGCUAGAGUCCGGAAGAGGAGAGUGGAAUUCCCUGGUGUAGCGGUGAAAUGCGCAGAUAUCAAGAGGAACACCUGCGGCGAAGGCGGGUUGCUGGGCCGACACUGACGCUGAUGCGCGAAAGCUAGGGGGAGCGAACGGG